rnacentral:rRNA from 1 species
AGUGGGGAAUAUUGGACAAUGGGCGCAAGCCUGAUCCAGCCAUGCCGCGUGAGUGAUGAAGGCCUUAGGGUUGUAAAGCUCUUUCAGUAGGGAAGAUAAUGACGGUACCUACAGAAGAAGCCCCGGCUAACUUCGUGCCAGCAGCCGCGGUAAUACGAAGGGGGCUAGCGUUGUUCGGAUUUACUGGGCGUAAAGCGCACGUAGGCGGUUUGUUAAGUCAGAGGUGAAAUCCCGGAGCUCAACUCCGGAACUGCCUUUGAUACUGGCAAGCUAGAGUCCGGAAGAGGUAAGUGGAACUCCUAGUGUAGAGGUGGAAUUCGUAGAUAUUAGGAAGAACACCAGUGGCGAAGGCGGCUUACUGGUCCGGAACUGACGCUGAGGUGCGAAAGCGUGGGGAGCAAA